UACAGAGGGGGCAAGCGUUAUUCGGAAUUAUUGGGCGUAAAGGGCGCGUAGGCGGCCUGGCAAGUGGAUGGUGAAAUCCCUCGGCUUAACCGAGGAACUGCCAUCCAGACUGCUUGGCUUGAGACCGGGAGAGGUGAGUGGAAUUCCCAGUGUAGCGGUGAAAUGCGUAGAUAUUGGGAGGAACACCAGUGGCGAAGGCGGCCAUCUGGACGGUAACUGACGCUGAGACGCGGAAAGCGUGGGGAGCAAACAGG
rnacentral:rRNA from 1 species